rnacentral:rRNA from 1 species
GAUGAACGCUGGCGGCGUGCCUAAUACAUGCAAGUCGAGCGAAUGGAUUAAGAGCUUGCUCUUAUGAAGUUAGCGGCGGACGGGUGAGUAACACGUGGGUAACCUGCCCAUAAGACUAGGAUAACUCCGGGAAACCGGGGCUAAUACCGGAUAACAUUUUGAACCGAAUGGUUCGAAAUUGAAAGGCGGCUUCGGCUGUCCCUUAUGGAAGGACACGCGUCGCGUUAGCUAGUUGGUGAGGUUACGGCUCACCAAGGCAACGAUGCGUAGCCGACCUGAGAGGGUGAUCGGCCACACUGGGACUGAGACACGGCCCAGACUCCUACGGGAGGCAGCAGUAGGGAAUCUUCCGCAAUGGACGAAAGUCUGACGGAGCAACGCCGCGUGAGUGAUGAAGGCUUUCGGGUCGUAAAACUCUGUUGUUAGGGAGGAACAAGUGCUAGUUGAAUAAGCUGGCACCUUGACGGUACCUAACCAGAAAGCCACGGCUAACUACGUGCCAGCCGCCGCCGUAA